rnacentral:lncRNA from 1 species
AUGAAGAACUCACUUAUAUUCAGUCUUUGUCUGAAUUUCACUGCCAGUUCUAAUAAGAGUUUACUUGUUGACAUUUUAGGUUUAAAAAGCCCAACAAGCUGGGUGAAUGAAUUCAGAGGUAACAUAUUUUCUGACUGCAUGUGUGAGCGUGCAUGCAUAUAUGUCUUAAGUAGUAGAAGAGCACCAAUAAGACAUCUUCAGUUUUACUUAACGAACAGAUAUGAAAAAGUGGGAGCUGAUACAGAAGAAAAGGGAAGGGAGACUAUUAUAGCUAUAGUAUUCAAAAAAAUCUAAUUAAACUAGGAAAUAAAUUAUUUAAAAGGACUGUAGUCUAAUUUCUU